rnacentral:rRNA from 1 species
AUUGAACGCUGGCGGCAUGCUUUACACAUGCAAGUCGAACGGUAACAGGCCGCAAGGUGCUGACGAGUGGCGAACGGGUGAGUAAUGCAUCGGAACGUGCCCAGUCGGGGGGGAUAACGCAGCGAAAGCUGCGCUAAUACCGCAUACGAUCUAUGGAUGAAAGCGGGGGACCGUAAGGCCUCGCGCGAUUGGAGCGGCCGAUGUCAGAUUAGGUAGUUGGUGGGGUAAAGGCUCACCAAGCCAACGAACUGUAGCUGGUCUGAGAGGAAGACCGGCCAAACUGGGACUGAGACCCGGACCAGACUCCUACGGGAGGCAGCGGUGGGGAAUUUUGGAGAAUGGGCGCAAGACUGAUCCAGCAUGCCGCGUGCAGGAAGAAGGCCUUCGGGUUGUAAACUGCUUUUGUACGGAACGAAACGGUCCUGGUUAAUACCCGGGGCUAAUGACGGUACCGUAAGAAUAAGCACCGGCUAACUACGUGCCAGCAGCCGCGGUAACAC